rnacentral:lncRNA from 1 species
CUGCUUUUAUCGCCAUCCAUUUCCUUUGUUAUGUAACUGACUAAAAAUCUUUUUGUGUUGCUUUCCACAGAAUCUCAUGCAUCUGCUUUUUCAAAUGUUCUCCGGUUUUCCUAUUAACUUUUUUUUUUUUUUUUCUGUGAACAUAACAAGAAGAGUAUGGGACUAUAUGGGAGCUACAAAGGAAAUGCUCUGCAGAUCUUCACCAAGUGAUGCACCUGUUUUAGCGUACUUGAUUUGUUCAGCUUUUUGCUUCCUAUUCAGCUACCAUAACUCCACGACUGAAGUCACAGUUCACCUUUUCAGCCUUCCAAGGUGCAGUCAUCAGCAUUCUCACACCAUGUCAGGAACAAAGCUACUGAGCCAGACAGAUGUAAUUCUCAUUGUAGACAUCCAGAAUGGAAGUAAACGGACACUAUCAUCAGUGCUAAUGCUAGCCUGC